rnacentral:rRNA from 1 species
GAUGAACGCUAGCUACAGGCUUAACACAUGCAAGUCGAGGGGUAACGAGAGGAAAGCUUGCUUUCCUUGUCGACAACCGGCGCACGGGUGAGUAACGCGCAUCCAACCUGCCCCCAACUAAGGAAUAACCUUGCGAAAGUAAGACUAAUACCUUAUAAUUUCCUCAGAUGUCAUCUGACGAGGAAUAAAGAUUUAUCGGUUGUGGAUGGGGAUGCGUCUGAUUAGCUUGUUGGCGGGGUAACGGCCCACCAAGGCAACGAUCAGUAGGGGUUUUGAGAGGAAGGUCCCCCACAUUGGAACUGAGACACGGUCCAAACUCCUACGGGAGGCAGCAGUGAGGAAUAUUGGUCAAUGGGCGAAAGCCUGAACCAGCCAAGUAGCGUGCAGGAUGACGGCCCUAUGGGUUGUAAACUGCUUUUAUACAGGAAUAAAGUUAGCCACGUGUGGUUAUUUGUAGGUACUGUAUGAAUAAGCACCGGCUAACUCCGUGCCAGCCGCCGCAGUAA